UACGGAGGGGGCUAGCGUUGUUCGGAAUUACUGGGCGUAAAGCGCGCGUAGGCGGACCUGCAAGUCGGGGGUGAAAGCCCGAGGCUCAACCUCGGAACUGCCUUCGAUACUGCGGGUCUCGAGUCCGGGAGAGGUGAGUGGAAUUCCUAGUGUAGAGGUGAAAUUCGUAGAUAUUAGGAAGAACACCAGUGGCGAAGGCGGCUUACUGGCCCGAUACUGACGCUGAGGCACGAAAGCGUGGGGAGCAAACAGG
rnacentral:rRNA from 1 species